rnacentral:snRNA from 1 species
GGAUGUGAGGGAGAUCUGGCUGCGACAUCUGUCACCCCAUUGAUCGCCAGGGUUGAUUGAUUCGGCUGAUCUGGCUGGCUAGGCGGGUGUCCCCCUCCUCCCUCACCGAUCCAUGUGC